GGGGGGGUGGUGGGGGGGAGUGAUGGGAGGCAAGGCUAUGGUGAACGAAAUUGAACCCAGGCCCUCACGGGGAGAAGUGGCGACUCGGCGGACGUACAGUAGCCGGACGGGGGAGUCAUUAUGGAAGGGUUCCAGUCCAUGGGCUGCACCUGUGGUUUUAGUAAAGAAGAAAGAUGGCUCCUGCAGGUUUUGCGUCGACUACCGGAAACUUAAUGCUGUCACGCAUAAGGAUGCUUAUCCCCUUCUUCGUAUCGAGGAGUCCCUGACCAGCUGAAGAGAGCGUAUUAGUACUCUACACUGGACCUAGCAAGCGGCUACUGGCAGGUUGAGGUCGACCCAAAGGAAAAGGAGAAGACUGCCUUUACCACCCCGGUGGGCCUCUACCAGUUCGAGAGAAUGCCGUUUGGGCUGUGUAACGCCCCAGCUACCUUCCAGCAUUUGAUGCAGCUCUGUCUUGGGGGGCAGGUGCAUGAUUUUUUACUGAUUUAGCUUGAUUACGUGAUAAUCUACUCACCUGAUUUUGCUGCUCCCCUAGGACACCUUGAACAAGUCUUCAGGCGGCUCGCCGAGCACGGGCUGAAGCUACAGCCUCUUAAGUGCCACCUUUUUCAGCGCUCUGUGCAGUACCGGGGCCAUGUGAUGGGUCGGGGAGGUGUAGCAACAGAUCCCGGUAAAACUGACGCGGUCAAGGAAUGGCCGUUCCCCUCGACUGUCCGCGAAGUCCACACCUCUUUGGGUUUUGCGGGCUACUAUCGGAGGUUUAUCCCUGCCUUCGCCAAGAAGGCUGGUCCACUCCAUGGGCUGCUAAGGGGGGCUACCGGGGCGAAGAGGCAGAGCGUGGACUGGAGAGGGCCUUUUGGGUGCUAAAGCAGGCCCUCCUGGAGGCCCCUAUAGUGGGUACGUUGAUUUUACGGUGCCCUUCCGUCUAAAUUGUUGUGGAAUAUUUCAAUAAAAGCUCGAUAGAAGAGAAUGAUUUGUCUCAUAAAACAGAGUCUUGAUGAAUGAUCAAAGUUGCAAAAAGUCCAUUUAUUGCUUGCAUGUAUAAUGCAUUACGUUCAGGAAUGAGGAAACAGUUAUUGCCAUAAUAUGUCAGACAUACAAGGAAUUUGACUGGGCGAUUGGUGCGUAACAGCAGACAGUACGACGAUGGACGACAAGUGCACGAGCAAUAAAAUAAAAUAUAAUGCUAUGGGUUAGUAGUAUAAGUCUAUGGGUUAGUUUAAAAAUAAAGCAAUACAAGUUAAACAUAUUUAAAAAUUAAAAAGAAAGUUCUCGACAUGACACGUCCUUUUCUGGAUGGAGAAGCGCUAUUACAUUACAGGUCAUUUAGCUGACGCCUUCAUCCAAAGCGACUAACAUAGCAUUUUGAACCCAUGGCUUCUUACAUUUUGGCCCGGGGAGCAAUUAGGGGCUAGGUGUCUUGCUCAGGGACACUUGGAUACUUGAACAUGGAGCAGCUCGACCUGCCAACCUUGCGGUUGCGCACCCUCUCUACUCCUGCGCCACGUCGACCCGAAUUACUUGCGUAAUACGGGUGUUUAACACGUCGGGAGAGAAUAUUGAGGCCCCGAUUAUAUAUAUUGUCAUUUCCAGAAGUACUUGUUUAAACAGUAUUGUUUUUCUUCACAGUCCAUCAAAUAUGUCCAUAACCUCACCCGUCCUCAUUGAACUACACUGUAACAAAUUGCUGUAAAUUUACGGUGCAUUUCUAACGGUAUCUUACAUAUGAUGACUUUGACUUACAUUGUUCAUUCUGUACACAUGGCAUCCAUUGUAGUCUGUCCAUCCCGGGAGUGGGAUCCCUCCUCUGACGUUCUCCCUAAGGUUUCUUCCCUUUUUUCCCUCUUGUAAGGGUUUUUUUCAUUUUUUGGGGAGUUUUUCCUGUGCCGAUGGAGGGUUUCGGGGCAGAGGAUGUUGUAUGUGUACAGACUGUAAAGCCCUCUGAGGCAAAUUUGUAAUUUGCGAUUUUGGGCUAUACAAAAUAAAAUGACUUGACUUGACUUACAGGACAUUACUAGACAUGCAGCGGUGACUUUUUUCCAAAACGCCCAUGGUUUGACAUAAUUUUAUAUGGAGUAAUAGGUGGUUCUAUUACUUGCCCAGGGACGCUUCGACUUGGCACAGGGAGCAGCCAGGAUUGUUAAAUACAUGGAUUAUUCAAAGUGUUCGUUGCCUAAAAGUCAUUUGGGACCAAGAAACAUCCAGGAAGAUUGACGAGAAACAUCCACAACGAUAGACAAUGACUCAAUAAGUGACACAAGAGACACACAAGGCUUAAAUACACUAGGGAGGUGCAGGUGAUUGGACACAGGUGGAAACGAUUAGACAAUCACAGGGGAUGACAGGACAAGGCAGGAAGUGAAGUUACCCGGGGACACGAGUGGCAGAAAACUACAAAAUAAGACAGGAAGUGAACCACACCGUGACACAGGGUACAAGUACUGAGGCAACGAAAUGCAACGAAAAGGCAACGAAAUGCAAUUUUCACCACCCUCUGCAGUGAUUUACGGUCCGCGACAGAGCAGCUGCCGUACCAUACUGAAAUGCAGUUUUUAAGGAUGCUCUCCAUGGUACAGCGGUAGAAAUUCUCUAGAAUCUGAGGAGACAGAUGGGCCUUCUUCAGUCUCCUCAGGAAGAAGAGACGCUGGUGUGCUUUCUUUACCAGGGAUGAGGUGUUGAGGGUCCAAGAGAGGUCCCCAGAGAUGUGGACACCCAGGAACUUGAAGCUGGCGACACGCUCAACCUCCGUCCCGUUGAUAUGGAUGGGGAUGUGUGUGCCAGUUUUCUUCCGGAAGUCCACAAUUAGCUCUUUGGUCUUCUUGGCGUUGAGGGCCAGGUUGUUGUCGGCGCACCACACCGCCAGGUGCUCACAGGUUUCUGUGGGUGGUGGUUGCAUCUGAUGGAGGUUACGUCUGAUGAUGGUUGCCCCUGCACUGGUCCUGCCUUAUCCCUGGCUUAAUAAUCCACAAUAUUUUAAUCAUUUCUGUUGUAGGAAUCGGAUGUACUGUACAUCUUUUACGUUGUUCAUACUCUACACACCUACUUCCCUGCUGUUUUCCCCUCAGGUUUCUCCAGGUUGUUUUUUUACAUUUUGGGGUUUAGGGGAUAGGGGGAUAGGGUGUUGCAUGUUUGAUUUGAAUUGAAUAUUGAACACGUUGACCAGAGGAAUCUGCUCUGUGCACUCUGACUCCCUUUACACAAAGAAUCAUCAAGUGAGGAUGAGGGAGACGCAGCUGAUUUCAGGUAUACUAUCCCAACUCAAGUGAGCCACAUCUUGUUACAGAAUCUAUAAUGAAGUUCCAAUGAUUCAGAAAAAUGGUCUACAAACACAGAAAAGUUGUUUCUGCACUUUUAAUUCCAUAGUUUAUUUCCCUGAAAUAUAUAUUUUAUUUCUGUAUUGUUUUUAAUUAGCAAAAGUGUUGUUAUAUGUAUAGUGUUAUAUUUAUAAUAAAUACAAAUUAAUAAAAUAAUGUGUUUGUCCUUGUUAAGGGCUGUUAACAUGGCAACUGUGACAAGUAUGUAACUUGUAAGUUUCCAGCAGGCAAUUUCUCCGUUGAAACAACGUUUAAAAGAGGUCUUUGGCCGGACGUUGAAGACACGUUGCAAAUUGGUUCAAAAGUGAAAGUUGUUUCAACGUCUAUUCACAGACGUUGAAAAGACCAACGUCGGGCGUAGACUUCCUUUAAUGGUCUUUUCAACCAAAAAAUGCUCACUGUGGAGUGUCAAUCAUGACCGACUGCUCCUGAACGUGACGUUAAACGCGCAAUCUCAGUUCAUCCAGAACACAUGUGCAGUUCAACAUCAGAGGAGUUUGUCAUUGC
ensembl:lncRNA